rnacentral:rRNA from 1 species
UGAGCAACCUGCCCCUGACUCUGGGAUAAACGGUGGAAACGCCGUCUAAUACCGGAUACGACCUUCCGCCUCAUGGUGGAGGGUGGAAAGUUUUUUCGGUCAGGGAUGGGCUCGCGGCCUAUCAUCUUGUUGGUGGGGUAACGGCCUACCAAGGCGAUUACAGGUAGCCGGCCUGAGAGGGCGACCGGCCACACUGGGACUGAGACACGGCCCAGACUCCUGCGGGAGGCAGCAGUGGGGAAUAUUGCGCAAUGGGCGAAAGCCUGACGCACCGACGCCGCGUGGGGGAUGACGGCCUUCGGGUUGUAAACCUCUUUUACCACCAACGCAAGCUCCGGGUUCUCUCGGGGUUGACGGUAGGUGGGGAAUAAGGACCGGCUAACUACGUGCCAUCAGCCGCGGUAAUACGUAGGGUCCGAGCGUUGUCCGGAAUUAUUGGGCGUAAAGAGCUCGUAGGCGGCGUGUCGCGUCUGCUGUGAAAGACCGGGGCUUAACUCCGGUU